UAUCUCUGUAGAGUCUGCAUAUCAAUAAGCGGAGGAAAAGAAACUAACUAGGAUUCCCUUAGUAACGGCGAGUGAAGCGGGAAGAGCUCAAAUUUGAAAUCUUCAAGGUUUUACCUUGACGAAUUGUAGUUUAAAGAAGUGUUUUCUGUUGGUGUUUUGGUAAAAGUUCUUUGGAAUAGGACAUCAUAGAGGGUGAGAAUCCCGUAUUUGACCAUUAUUUCCAGCUUUGUGAUACACUUUCAAAGAGUCGGAUUGUUUGGGAAUGCAGUCCAAAAUGGGUGGUAAAUUUCAUCUAAAGCUAAAUACUGGCGAGAGACCGAUAGCGAACAAGUACCGUGAGGGAAAGAUGAAAAGAACUUUGAAAAGAGAGUUAAACAGUACGUGAAAUUGUCAAAAGGGAAGCGUUUGACACCAGUGUUGUUUUCCUCGAAAAUCAAUUAAAAAUGGCGGGAUUUUGUGUUGUAUUGACUUUAUCAGCUUUCUGCACUUUUUUUCCUGUCUUUUUUAAUGCACUUUUCGUUUAACAAGUCAACAUCAAUUUCUUUUGUUGUAAAAGGGUCAUUGGAAGGUGGCUUUCUUUUCGGAGAAAGUGUUUAUAGCCUUUGGCCUCUGCAAUCGGAGAGAUUGAGGUCUGCAGCGUAGAUCCUUCGGGGUUAGAUACAUUUGUGCUAAGUUAUAGCCUUUCAUAGACAACUUGUUGACUAUGAUCAGUCAUGUAGCUUACUCGCUUAUGCUAUUUUACCUACGCUUAGGAUGUUGAGUCAUCACACAUCUCU
rnacentral:rRNA from 1 species